CCUACGGGAGGCUGCAGUGGGGAAUAUUGGACAAUGGGGGGAACCCUGAUCCAGCCAUGCCGCGUGUGUGAAGAAGGCCCUCGGGUUGUAAAGCACUUUCAGUGAGGAAGAACGCCUGGUGGUUAAUACCCAUCAGGAAAGACAUCACUCACAGAAGAAGCACCGGCUAACUCCGUGCCAGCAGCCGCGGUAAUACGGAGGGUGCGAGCGUUAAUCGGAAUUACUGGGCGUAAAGCGCGCGUAGGUGGCUUGAUAAGCCGGUUGUGAAAGCCCCGGGCUCAACCUGGGAACGGCAUCCGGAACUGUCAAGCUAGAGUGCAGGCGAGGAAGGUAGAAUUCCCGGUGUAGCGGUGAAAUGCGUAGAGAUCGGGAGGAAUACCAGUGGCGAAGGCGGCCUUCUGGACUGACACUGACACUGAGGUGCGAAAGCGUGGGUAGCAAACAGGAUUAGAUACCCUUGUAGUC
rnacentral:rRNA from 1 species